rnacentral:tRNA from 1 species
AGCAGCAUGGCCUAGUGGUUAAAGCAUGGGCUUGGGCCUGCGAGUCAGAAGAACCUGGGUUCUAUUCCCGGCUCUGCUA